AAACCUCCAGCCCUUUCUUUUGGAGCCACACGAGGGGUUUGGCUGAGGUUUGAACUCAGAGGUUCACGACAGGGAGUUUGCCCAAACCAGUUGCAUCGAUGCAAACCCAACUCUUUCCCUGCUGAUUUCCUCUUUGCAGUUCCUGCUAUUUUUUCAGCCUAUGGAAAUGUCUAAUUUUUUUAUAAAUCAAAAGAAUCAGAGAGAUUCCUCCUCUCCCCCCUCCCUUUACCUACCCAGAUUUUUAUUUUUACUGUUUUUAGUGAAUUCUUUUCUAUUUUCUUCAGCUUUAAGAGCCACAGGUCCAUCCAGAUAAUUGCCUUUAUUGAAAAAAAAAAAGGCAAACGUUGGAUGAACUGUGCUCAGAUAAAACUGAUAUCAGCGUGGAAGGGAAACUUCCCAAGCCUGAGAUGAGGGCUUUGAUCUUCCAUCAGAGAGCCCAUCUGGAAAAAAUUAUUUUGUUGUUCUUCUGGGAGAUGGGUUUUACAUUUUGUUUGCUUCAUCUGUUUACAAGGGGGAGGUUUAUACAAAACUCCAAGCUUUUAAAAAGUAACCAGUGAAGUCUCAGAUUGAACCGAAGUCAAGAGAUUUUUUUUUUGCUGAGCAACGUGUUCAAACUCAGAUAUUGUUAAUAUUUAAUUAUUUCUUUUUUUCAGACAGGACUUCCUUAAAAAAUAAAAUCAGUUGGCUCGUGCUGGUUUCAAAGCAACAUCCCAAUUGCAGGGAAUGGACUCCAGCAGGAACAAAAAGACCCAGCACAAAGCCUGUAAUGUUCUGAGCUGCAGCAUCACCUGAUUGUUAAUCACAAGAGACAUGGUUUUGUCCUGUGCCUAACCCAGCCCUCGUGGGAUCCUGGUCCAUAAACCAGCUCCAAGGGCAAUAAACGCACGAACAACAGUAAAAAGAUGCAGAAAAAGCCACAGCAGCUGCCACAGAGGAAGCAAGACCUUGUCAUGGAUUUACUAAACACUGAAAAGCCUCCCCUGGAA